CUGUUUAAAUAUUUUUAUUUAGCAUCUUACUUCCAUGUCCAUGACAACACAUUUAGAAGGGGUAUGAGAAAAAUAUGAGUAUAAUUUCCAGUAGUAUCUGGCUUAUAAACAGAACCUUUAUCUCAAGGACUAAACACAUUGCCAAGAAUGUUUUUAAAAACCAGGAACAAAAGUCAAAGAUUCAAAGACAAUUUUAUUCCGCUGUAUUUUUAACCAUAACUGAUACCAACUUGCAAUCUGGCUGUGUUAUUCCCAUGACCCACCGGGCAGCAUCCAGAAAACCAAAGUCUUUGCGUUCGG
rfam:Oryzias latipes DNA, scaffold4344, strain: Hd-rR.